UGCGUAGGCGGAAUGAUAAGUCAUUUGUAAAAGAUCUCGGCUCAACCGAGUAAGGCGAAUGAAACUGUCAAUCUUGAGUAUGGUAGAGGUAAGCGGAAUUUCAAGUGUAGCGGUGGAAUGCGUAGAUAUUUGAAGGAACACCGAUGGCGAAGGCAGCUUACUGGGCCAGAACUGACGCUGAGGCACGAAAGCGUGGGUAGCAAACAGGAUUAGAUACCCUGGUAGUCC
rnacentral:rRNA from 1 species